UAUGACAACACAUAGACGGUAUAAAAUACAAACAAUAACCAAGUGUUAUGGUAUCAAUAGAUAUGACAACACAUAGACAGUACACAAACAAUAACCAAGUGUUAUGGUAUCAAUAGAUAUGACAACACAUAGACAGUAUGAUAUACAAACAAUAACCAAGUGUUGUGGUAUCAAUAGAUAUGACAACACAUAGACAGUACACAAACAAUAAUCAAGUGUUAUGGUAUCAAUAGAUAUGACAACACAUAGACAGUACACAAACAA
rnacentral:lncRNA from 1 species